CGGCAACAGCUCAAAUUUGAAAUCUGGCUCUUUUAGAGUCCGAGUUGUAAUUUGUAGAAGAUGCUUCGAGUGUGGUGCCGGUCUAAGUUCCUUGGAACAGGACGUCACAGAGGGUGAGAAUCCCGUACGUG
rnacentral:rRNA from 1 species